rnacentral:lncRNA from 1 species
CUAGGAUAAUAUCUUUGUAUCUGUCCAUUAGGUGGAGUCCACUUGAGUGUACUUACACAAAUUAUAAAUAUUGGGUGAAUAUAAAUCAAUAUGCGCUGAGGGUAUUUUCGUUAUCAUAAAAAAAAUCAAUAAUAGAAAAUAAAAAGAAAGAGAUGUAAAGUUAGAGAUGGAAGAGAGAAAAAAGGCGUAAAGAAAGAAUUGAAAAAAAAAAUACAAAAAAAAUAAUAAAAAAGG